GAUGAAGAACGUAGCGAAAUGCGAUACUUGGUGUGAAUUGCAGAAUCCCGUGAACCAUCGAGUCUUUGAACGCAAGUUGCGCCCGAAGCCAUUAGGCCGAGGGCACGCCUGCCUGGGCGUCACACGUCGUUGCCCCCCCAUCUACUCCUUCGGGAUUGCGGGGGGCGGAUGAUGGCCUCUCGUGCGCCUCGUCGCGCGGUUGGCCUAAAUGCCAAGUCCUCGGCGACGCACGCCACGACAAUCGGUGGUUGCGAAACCUCGGUUGCCUGUCGUGUGCGGUCGUCGCGCAUCGAGGGCUCGAAAAAAUUGCCGGGCUUCGGCUCGACUUUCAACGCGACCCCAGGACAGGCGGGGUUACCCGCUGAAUUUAAGCAUAUCAAUAAGCGGAGGA
rnacentral:misc_RNA from 1 species